GUAGUCUGCAACCCGACUACAUGAAGCCGGAAUCGCUAGUAAUCGCGGAUCAGAAUGCCGCGGUGAAUACGUUCCCGGGUCUUGUACACACCGCCCGUCACACCAUGGGAGCCGGAAAUGCCCGAAGUCAGUGACCCAACCAAUAAGGAGGGAGCUGCCGAAGGCAGGUCUGGUGACUGGGGUGAAGUCGUAACAAGGUACC
rnacentral:rRNA from 1 species